UGACGGAGCAACGCCGCGUGAGUGAUGAAGGUCUUCGGAUCGUAAAACUCUGUUAUUAGGGAAGAACAUAUGUGUAAGUAACUGUGCACAUCUUGACGGUACCUAAUCAGAAAGCCACGGCUAACUACGUGCCAGCAGCCGCGGUAAUACGUAGGUGGCAAGCGUUAUCCGGAAUUAUUGGGCGUAAAGCGCGCGUAGGCGGUUUUUUAAGUCUGAUGUGAAAGCCCACGGCUCAACCGUGGAGGGUCAUUGGAAACUGGAAAACUUGAGUGCAGAAGAGGAAAGUGGAAUUCCAUGUGUAGCGGUGAAAUGCGCAGAGAUAUGGAGGAACACCAGUGGCGAAGGCGACUUUCUGGUCUGUAACUGACGCUGAUGUGCGAAAGCGUGGGGAUCAAACAGGAUUAGAUACCCUGGUA
rnacentral:rRNA from 1 species